rnacentral:rRNA from 1 species
GGGUCAGCAGGUUGGUCGUGCCACCGGUACGUACUGGUCUCACUGAUUCCUCCUUCCUGAAGAACCGUAAUGCCAUUAAUUUGGUGUUGCGGGGAAACAGGACUGUUACUUUGAAAAAAUUAGAGUGUUUAAAGCAAGCUAACGCUUGAAUACAUUAGCAUGGGAUAAUGAAAUAGGACGAUCGAUCCUAUUUUGUUGGUUUCUAGGAUUGACGUA